rnacentral:rRNA from 1 species
GGUUAAGCGACUAAGCGUACACGGUGGAUGCCCUGGCAGUCAGAGGCGAUGAAGGACGUGCUAAUCUGCGAUAAGCGUCGGUAAGGUGAUAUGAACCGUUAUAACCGGCGAUUUCCGAAUGGGGAAACCCAGUGUGUUUCGACACACUAUCAUUAACUGAAUCCAUAGGUUAAUGAGGCGAACCGGGGGAACUGAAACAUCUAAGUACCCCGAGGAAAAGAAAUCAACCGAGAUUCCCCCAGUAGCGGCGAGCGAACGGGGAGCAGCCCAGAGCCUGAAUCAGUGUGUGUGUUAGUGGAAGCGUCUGGAAAGGCGCGCGAUACAGGGUGACAGCCCCGUACACAAAAAUGCACAUGCUGUGAGCUCGAUGAGUAGGGCGGGACACGUGGUAUCCUGUCUGAAUAUGGGGGGACCAUCCUCCAAGGCUAAAUACUCCUGACUGACCGAUAGUGAACCAGUACCGUGAGGGAAAGGCGAAAAGAACCCCGGCGAGGGGAGUGAAAAAGAACCUGAAACCGUGUACGUACAAGCAGUGGGAGCACGCUUAGGCGUGUGACUGCGUACCUUUUGUAUAAUGGGUCAGCGACUUAUAUUCUGUAGCAAGGUUAACCGAAUAGGGGAGCCGAAGGGAAACCGAGUCUUAACUGGGCGUUAAGUUGCAGGGUAUAGACCCGAAACCCGGUGAUCUAGCCAUGGGCAGGUUGAAGGUUGGGUAACACUAACUGGAGGACCGAACCGACUAAUGUUGAAAAAUUAGCGGAUGACUUGUGGCUGGGGGUGAAAGGCCAAUCAAACCGGGAGAUAGCUGGUUCUCCCCGAAAGCUAUUUAGGUAGCGCCUCGUGAAUUCAUCUCCGGGGGUAGAGCACUGUUUCGGCAAGGGGGUCAUCCCGACUUACCAACCCGAUGCAAACUGCGAAUACCGGAGAAUGUUAUCACGGGAGACACACGGCGGGUGCUAACGUCCGUCGUGAAGAGGGAAACAACCCAGACCGCCAGCUAAGGUCCCAAAGUCAUGGUUAAGUGGGAAACGAUGUGGGAAGGCCCAGACAGCCAGGAUGUUGGCUUAGAAGCAGCCAUCAUUUAAAGAAAGCGUAAUAGCUCACUGGUCGAGUCGGCCUGCGCGGAAGAUGUAACGGGGCUAAACCAUGCACCGAAGCUGCGGCAGCGACGCUUAUGCGUUGUUGGGUAGGGGAGCGUUCUGUAAGCCUGUGAAGGUGUGCUGUGAGGCAUGCUGGAGGUAUCAGAAGUGCGAAUGCUGACAUAAGUAACGAUAAAGCGGGUGAAAAGCCCGCUCGCCGGAAGACCAAGGGUUCCUGUCCAACGUUAAUCGGGGCAGGGUGAGUCGACCCCUAAGGCGAGGCCGAAAGGCGUAGUCGAUGGGAAACAGGUUAAUAUUCCUGUACUUGGUGUUACUGCGAAGGGGGGACGGAGAAGGCUAUGUUGGCCGGGCGACGGUUGUCCCGGUUUAAGCGUGUAGGCUGGUUUUCCAGGCAAAUCCGGAAAAUCAAGGCUGAGGCGUGAUGACGAGGCACUACGGUGCUGAAGCAACAAAUGCCCUGCUUCCAGGAAAAGCCUCUAAGCAUCAGGUAACAUCAAAUCGUACCCCAAACCGACACAGGUGGUCAGGUAGAGAAUACCAAGGCGCUUGAGAGAACUCGGGUGAAGGAACUAGGCAAAAUGGUGCCGUAACUUCGGGAGAAGGCACGCUGAUAUGUAGGUGAAGUCCCUCGCGGAUGGAGCUGAAAUCAGUCGAAGAUACCAGCUGGCUGCAACUGUUUAUUAAAAACACAGCACUGUGCAAACACGAAAGUGGACGUAUACGGUGUGACGCCUGCCCGGUGCCGGAAGGUUAAUUGAUGGGGUUAGCGCAAGCGAAGCUCUUGAUCGAAGCCCCGGUAAACGGCGGCCGUAACUAUAACGGUCCUAAGGUAGCGAAAUUCCUUGUCGGGUAAGUUCCGACCUGCACGAAUGGCGUAAUGAUGGCCAGGCUGUCUCCACCCGAGACUCAGUGAAAUUGAACUCGCUGUGAAGAUGCAGUGUACCCGCGGCAAGACGGAAAGACCCCGUGAACCUUUACUAUAGCUUGACACUGAACAUUGAGCCUUGAUGUGUAGGAUAGGUGGGAGGCUUUGAAGUGUGGACGCCAGUCUGCAUGGAGCCGACCUUGAAAUACCACCCUUUAAUGUUUGAUGUUCUAACGUUGACCCGUAAUCCGGGUUGCGGACAGUGUCUGGUGGGUAGUUUGACUGGGGCGGUCUCCUCCUAAAGAGUAACGGAGGAGCACGAAGGUUGGCUAAUCCUGGUCGGACAUCAGGAGGUUAGUGCAAUGGCAUAAGCCAGCUUGACUGCGAGCGUGACGGCGCGAGCAGGUGCGAAAGCAGGUCAUAGUGAUCCGGUGGUUCUGAAUGGAAGGGCCAUCGCUCAACGGAUAAAAGGUACUCCGGGGAUAACAGGCUGAUACCGCCCAAGAGUUCAUAUCGACGGCGGUGUUUGGCACCUCGAUGUCGGCUCAUCACAUCCUGGGGCUGAAGUAGGUCCCAAGGGUAUGGCUGUUCGCCAUUUAAAGUGGUACGCGAGCUGGGUUUAGAACGUCGUGAGACAGUUCGGUCCCUAUCUGCCGUGGGCGCUGGAGAACUGAGGGGGGCUGCUCCUAGUACGAGAGGACCGGAGUGGACGCAUCACUGGUGUUCGGGUUGUCAUGCCAAUGGCACUGCCCGGUAGCUAAAUGCGGAAGAGAUAAGUGCUGAAAGCAUCUAAGCACGAAACUUGCCCCGAGAUGAGUUCUCCCUGACUCCUUGAGAGUCCUGAAGGAACGUUGAAGACGACGACGUUGAUAGGCCGGGUGUGUAAGCGCAGCGAUGCGUUGAGCUAACCGGUACUAAUGAACCGUGAGGCUUAACCUUACAACGCCGAAGAUGUUUUG